UCUUUCCGGUCAAAGCUGGCGUAAACUGGGCUUACAGGAAGACUUUUGGCCCUGACAGGCUUCCAUACAGGUGGAACACAAAUUUCAGUGUUCUUAAUGGAAUGCAGCCGGCUGUAAGGGAGGAACUCCCGUGAAUGGAACGUUGCCAGCUAAAGUAGAGUGGUGUUCUGAACGGAACGCAGCCAUMUGCCAGGGAGGAGCUCCCGUGAAUGGGACGUGGCCGGCCUCCGUCAGCUGACGCACAGCUUCUGCCGCCGUCCGACAUCUUGCCUUCGAACGGCGGAACCGCAGGAACCGCUUGACCGUCGGUUCGUCCCGCCGAAGAGCCCGGGGAACCGUGAACUCCGGAGGGCGGAGGUCCGGGGACACAGCGGCGGUGCACGGAGCGGUGAAAACUCCACUCUAAGGAGUUUAAAUAUGGGUCCAGGACCGGACCGGACCGGACUGGACUGGACUGGACUGGACUUAUUUGAAACCUGAAGGUGACGCAGCUUCAGGCUGGUGGUGGCUGUGAAGCAGGGAGCCUGUUGCUAGGCAACAGCAGGGAGCGAUGAGGUCACUUCAGUCUGUGGCGAGACGUCGGCGCCGGUUUCAGGAGCWACAAACAGUUUAUCCUUCACGACCAUCAGAAGUCUGUUCAUCUGGGUUCUGUUCAGGUUCUGUUGGUCUGAAGCGGGUCGCUCUGGUCCCUGCAGCUGGUUUCUCCACUCCGGUCUUCAGCAGCAGGGGGCGCUGCUGCUGCUGCUCUCAGCUUCAACAGGACUUGGCUCCAGGCUCUUCGGCUGUCGUCCRGAACCUCCGCAGCCCAGACCCGAGCCGCACGUCGGGUCGGCGCCUCGUGAUGACAUCAUCGACCCGUGGCUCUGUGGUUUUUUUAGGUUUUGAUUUUCGUAGCGUUCGGUGAGAAAAUCGAAGCCUAAAGAAAAUACAGCGCUGUGAGGAGGCGCCGUUACGUUCAGGGAUCAUCCAGGAAGAGUUCUGCUCUGGCCCGGUUCUGUUCUAAACUGUACAACACCAGAACCAUGUAAAUCAAGAAGAAUGUUAUAUUGUUUCAGUCUGUUUUAUUUGUCAAAGUGUUUUCUGCUCCAGAGGCAGUUUUWUAAUUAAAAACUAAAACAAACA